GGAUAAACAGCCAUCAAAUUCCGAUCUUGCUGAUUUUCACUAACAAAAAUUUAUAAAACCCAGGCUCACUGCAUCCUCAGUUGGAGCAGAUUGAUACCUGGUGGUGCCAGCAGGUUUGCUUCAUUUUUCCCAUGUGGUGCAUGCUGGGAAGGUGCCAAGUAUCUGGAAAGCCAGCACAGCUGGAUCUGCAGGAUGGCACAGCUGGAUCUGUGGUAUGGAACAGCUGUCUGUGUAGGUAAGCACAAGAAGAUCUGUUGGAUAACACAGCUGGAUCUGACAGGAGGACACAACUGGAUUUGUGGGAUGGCACAGCUGGAUCUGCAGGAGGGCACAGCUGACUGUGUAGGUAAAGACAGCUGGAUCUGUUGGGCAGCACAGCUGGAUUUGCAGGAUGCACAGCUGGCUGAGUGGGGAAGCACAAUUGGAUCUGCAGUUUGGCUGCCUCUUGCUCUUGGCACACCUGCUGGUCCUUUUACAGCAUGAUGUCAGUCAUGUGGUUUCUGCUCUUAGAUUCCCGUUCUCCUCCCUUGCUGGUGUAACCAGAGCUGUGUCUGAAUGCCCGGGUGGUCCUGUAGCGCUGUUCCUGCAGCCUGGUCCUUGGUUAGCCAUGCAGAAAGCCCACUAGCACCCUCUCCAGUCUUGCUUUUCUGUCUGUGUUUUGGAGUCUGCCAGGGUUUGUGGGCCAUGACUCCAUUUUUGGAAAGCGCUGGCAAGCAUUGCCUGCAGCUCUUCUGAGUUUCCCAGGCCUACCUGACAGAAGUGCGGCCCAUCUCUGUGCCAGAAUUAACCUUGCCAUGAACAUACAGCCCCCAGACAGGAGGUGGCCAGAUUCCCCAUGUGAGUUCCUCAGCAUAUCCAGGCACUUUAGGCUCCCAAAGAAAGCACAGAGCAGGAGGAGGUGGUGGCCUCCUGCUGUGUGCAGUAAAGUCUUUGCUCUGGAGACCCCAAGUCUGAGUGUACCUCUCAGACUAGGGGUGCUUUCUGGUCCUCUGUAACACCCAGUUCCUGCCCCUCUGCCCUGCACCUUCUUGCAGGUAUGCCUUCCUCACUCCUUUAAGCUCUGUUUCCUUAAAGAGCAUGUAAGGCUGUCAGCAACUCCCAAAUCACAGACUCAACCUUUUACAGUUCUUUGAAACAUCCUUUGUGCAUUGCUGGGUCCAGAGUUCCACAGCAUUCAGACAACCUGAUGAGAGCUGCACAAACCCUCCAUCACCAUCCAAAAUGUUUCCACUACUUAAAUCUGGAUGGUACCCAGAUGUCAGCCCAAAGCUACCAAAGUUUUGGAGAUUCUUUCCUCUUGGUUUCCUGUCUGCAGUGUUCCUUCAGCAGGAACACAGGUCUCUGAGUGUGGUGUGAAGCUUGGGCCCUACUGGACCCUUUUUUCUUCUCCCAUAUCCAGAGGCUCCUUGAUGAGUUUCAGGGAUGACAGUUCCUCCCCAGUGGCCUGAUGGUGGGGCUUGGUCACUGCCUGGGUCUGGGGGAAAGUGACUAUAUAAUGGUUAUUUUUCAGGAUUAUUAAUUAAUUUGUUAUGAAGUCUCUCUUCACAGAGAGACUGUGAAGAAAAUUAACUCCAUCCCAGACAAAACCAGGACAGGUUUCCUGUAGUGUCUGCUUAGGCAGAGCUGCACAGAAUAUCCCUGCUUGGACCAUAGCCUGGAAUGGAAUCAGCUGUUCAGCAGUUGUUCCCUACUGGGAUCAGGAUCUGGCUCCCAGCAUCUGAAGCCUCAGAUGUGCCUGGAGAUGCUGUGAUGUGCUCAGCUGGGAGUGGAUACAGUGCCUUGUGCUGGAGGACAAAGAGGGAUGAGUUCCCUGUUACCUGGAGAAGACGCCAUAGGUUUGGGAAUGAGGAUUAGGAUGCUGUCUGAAACAAAAGACAUGAGGAGUUAAAGGCCACUGCAUCCUCAAAAAAUGCCAAGAAGCAUCAACGUAACCCCACAGCAUGUGCUUUCAGCCAGAUACUACGGAUCAGCUAAGUGGGUCUAAAAGCAAUUAAUCCUUCACAGAGAGGAUGAAAUCGCCACCGCUCCGCUUAGUAUAAAAUGUGUGAAUUAUCGGAAUGCAUUGACAGGGCAGCAGCACGUGGGUCUUGAGGCAGGCUGCUCGCCCAACUGUCGGGCUCUCAGGACAGGGCUGGCUGCUGCUUCCUUGUCCUCUGUGAGCUGUCAUUUACAUAGCUGUGAAAGUAGUUUCCUCAUCUACUCACACAGCAAAGCAAUCUCCAGCUGCGCAGUUCAUCAGAACAGACAAGUACUUAGAAUCCUUACUGGAUGCAGGUAAUUGGUGCUGUUGAACUGUCCCUGUUUAAGUUGGAACCUUUUGCUGCAUUCAGGCAGUUGCCAUCCUCUGCACCCUGCAUCCACCUGCUGAUGCUGCUGACGGCGUUUCUGAACCCUCUCGGUCCUCGCGGAGGUGAACGGCAACCCGAUUGGAACCCAGAGCCCACCGGCUGCUGCGGGGCUGAAGAGAGCCAGUGCGUUUGGGUGAGGAUGACCAGGAGGAGCUGGCAGCCCUUUCAAACCUGCAAGCCUGGUGCUGUCCCUUCCUCUCAGGUCUUCCCUCUGCCUCCUUCGGGGGCUGCAGCCUUCUUGGAGGGGCGAGGAAAAGGCUCCCGGCCAAGGAACCUUCUGCCUUCUUCAGGUUCUGCCCCAGCGGAACAGUCCGGUGGUGUUUGCCGGCUGAUCCACAGUCAGACGAGCUGCCGGGGGGCACACCUGGCUGAGCGGAGCGCUGGCUGCAAGGAGGAGCUUAUUUUCUCAGAGCUGCAGGGGACAGCAGCCGGAGGCGCCCGGCCAGCCAGCGUGGCACUGCAGGUGCGGGCAGACGGGAGCAAGGCAGCUGCGUGGCAGCUCCGGCCGGAGGAGGAGAGCCACGGGGACGAGCACAGCGCUGGCAGAGCAGAGCUGGGAAGCUCAGGGACCAUCCUCGCAGAUGGCAGCUCUUCCCUUGUGCCCUGGAAGCAGGAUGUCGUCCUGUCUCCCAGACUCAUGGUCCCACAAUUCCAGGAUGACUGGGCAUGGUGGUAAGCAAAGCCUUUCUGGAGGAUGCUCCACGGCCUUUCCUGGUAGAAACCACAGCUGCCAGAGAAGAAGAGGCUGCAGUACUCACCAGCCUUGUUGACAGAUGGAAAUAUAGGCCAGCAUUCAGCUCUGCAGUCCUCCUACAAGAAGAUCCACUUUUGGGAUGUCCUCCUGCAGCACUGCUGUGACCCCGGGAGGUGGCAGGUCUCUCUGAGACCAGGCUAGGUUUUGGAAACCUGGGAUGUCCACUCACCAUGGCACAGCAGAGGGUAAAAGCUUGAGGAUGUUGCCCCAGUUUUGGGAUCUUCCUAAAGAAAUGUAACAUUUAGACUCUCCCGGGCCAUAAGCUACAGAGGCAGCAUUCCUUUACUUGUCUCCACAAGAUGCUGUGGCAAAAAACACGUAAAGGUUCUGACACCUCCAAUGCUUUGUUUCGCACAGUGCAAGAGAGGCUGCAGGGUCUGUGCAGAUUGGUUGUCUGCUGGGAAACAGCUUCAAUCUUAUGAAACAAUUCCCAUGUGUCUCAUUGGGGUACAGAGCCAUCAGAGAGGAUGGCGUGUGCUGGGAUGUACUGGUGUAACACAGAGGAACACU